GGUUUUGACAGGGGCUUAGCUCAGUUAUCUCAAAGUUCUAGUGAUGAACUCUGAGUAAACUACGGGAAUAUUUUGAGCUUUGGUGAUGGGUGCGAGUGAGAUUUCAGCAGAGUAACGGUGCAAAGAUUAGGUCCCCUUUUCCGAUGACUCUCACCAUCUAUUUAUAGAGCCUUCUCCUAGGAUCCUUAAAUCAUGAGCUGUCAAAUCUAUCCAAAAUCAUUCCGU
rnacentral:lncRNA from 1 species